rnacentral:rRNA from 1 species
AGAACGAACGCUGGCGGCAUGCCUAACACAUGCAAGUCGAACGAGACCUUCGGGUCUAGUGGCGCACGGGUGCGUAACGCGUGGGAAUCUGCCCUUGGGUUCGGAAUAACAGUUAGAAAUGACUGCUAAUACCGGAUGAUGUCUUCGGACCAAAGAUUUAUCGCCCAAGGAUGAGCCCGCGUAAGAUUAGCUAGUUGGUAGGGUAAAGGCCUACCAAGGCUACGAUCUUUAGCUGGUCUGAGAGGAUGAUCAGCCACACUGGGACUGAGACACGGCCCAGACUCCUACGGGAGGCAGCAGUGGGGAAUAUUGGACAAUGGGCGAAAGCCUGAUCCAGCAAUGCCGCGUGAGUGAUGAAGGCCUUAGGGUUGUAAAGCUCUUUUACCGGGAUGAUAAUGACAGUACCGGAGAAUAAGCUCCGGCUAACUCCGUGCCAGCAGCCG